AGUGUUCAAUGACUCCAUGUACACAGGGCAGCAGUCUCUAAGGUUCAGGACAGGGUACUGGGUGGAGGCUAGUAACAGUCUCUAAGGUUCAGGACAGGGUACUGGGUGGAGGCUAGUAACAGUCUCUAAGGUUCAGGACAGGGUACUGGGUGGAGGCUAGUAACAGUCUCUAAGGUUCAGGGUACUGGGUGGAGGUUAGUAACAGUCUCUAAGGUUCAGGACAGGGUACUGGGUGGAGGCUAAUAACAGUGACUAAGGUUCAGGACAGGGUACUGGGGGAGGCCGGUAACCUGCCCUGAGCUAUUUAACAGUCUGAUGGCCUGGAGAUAGAAGCUGUUUUUCAGUAUCUUGGUUCCAGCUUUGAUGCACCUGUACUGAC
rnacentral:lncRNA from 1 species